rnacentral:RNase_P_RNA from 1 species
CAGCACAACCGGGUAGUGGCUUCACGCAAGUGAAGAGGAAAGUCCGGACAGCAGAGCAAAGGGUGCCCUGUGAAAGCAGGGGAUUGCGCUUAGCGCAAGCCAGUUUAGAGCAACAGAGACGAGCCGAGUGGCGUCGGUUGAAACGAUCAAGCUUCUGGAUCGGCUGGGUUUCCAGCUGGGCAAUCCUCCCCGCUGCAACUGGCGAUCUUUACCUAAAUGGACUUGCUCCCUUUAACGGUAAUAAUGACCAGGCAUAGAUAAAUCACUACUUAAACAGAAUCCGGCUUACGAGUUGUGCUGAUAU